rnacentral:rRNA from 1 species
AACGAACGCUGGCGGCAGGCCUAACACAUGCAAGUCGAGCGCUUCACUUCGGUGAGGAGCGGCGGACGGGUUAGUAACGCGUGGGAAUAUGCCCUUUACUAAGGAAUAGCCUCUGGAAACGGAGAGUAAUACCUUAUACGCCCUUCGGGGGAAAGAUUUAUCGGUAAAGGAUUAGCCCGCGUUAGAUUAGAUAGUUGGUGGGGUAAUGGCCUACCAAGUCGACGAUCUAUAGCUGGUUUGAGAGGAUGAUCAGCAACACUGGGACUGAGACACGGCCCAGACUCCUACGGGAGGCAGCAGUGGGGAAUCUUAGACAAUGGGCGCAAGCCUGAUCUAGCCAUGCCGCGUGAGUGAUGAAGGCCUUAGGGUCGUAAAGCUCUUUCGCCAGGGAUGAUAAUGACAGUACCUGGUAAAGAAACCCCGGCUAACUCCGUGCCAGCAGCCGCGGUAAUACGGAGGGGGUUAGCGUUGUUCGGAAUUACUGGGCGUAAAGCGCGCGUAGGCGGAUUAGUCAGUCAGAGGUGAAAUCCCAGGGCUCAACCCUGGAACUGCCUUUGAUACUGCUAGUCUUGAGUUCGAGAGAGGUGAGUGGAAUUCCGAGUGUAGAGGUGAAAUUCGUAGAUAUUCGGAGGAACACCAGUGGCGAAGGCGGCUCACUGGCUCGAUACUGACGCUGAGUGCGAAAGCGUGGGGAAGCAAA